UGGUCAAACCGGUAUAAAUCACUGGCAGCAAAGUUCGAAAAAUCAGCCAAUUCCAUUCCAGAUUGAUCGAUAAGAAUAUGUCAAAUUGCACCUACAAGAUCAUAUGACACAAUGAAAGUGGGUAAGGAAAUUAACUCUGUCAGAUCAGGUAUAUUCAAAAUCCAGACUAAUCUGAGAAAGCAUAUAUUCCUAAUCAUUUAUGCAUUGAAUUGACACUUUACAAGGUGUAUACGCCUUCCAAAGCAUAUUUUCCUAAUAAUUUAUGCAUCAACACUCUACUGAGUGUUUAUGCCUUCUUUAGCAUCACUGGAUGCAAGUUUAUCCAUUAUAUUAUGCAAAUGCUUCUUUUCAUUAUAUUACAUUUCCUUUAGGACGCAGCUCUGUAAACAGUUGUGGAAAGCAUCACAGAAUUCUAAUACCCCCUUUCUCAUUCCACUGGAAAUGAACGAUUUACCUGUAUAUUUGCAACCAGUCACUUGCUAGAUCCAAUCCAAGCAAUGCCAAGAAAAUAAAGCCUGGUCUGCAAGUAAGGUUCAACGAGAGUCUCACGUCAGAAAUGUGCCAAAGGAUAGACAGGAAAAUUGCAUAACAGCCAGUAAUGUUUGCCCUGAAGGAUGUCGAAAGCACCUGUCUGUUGCCGUAACAUCUCCAGAAGUUGACACUGGACUACAAAAUCUGAUGAAUAAAUCAAUUAUUACAGCUUACCAUUUCCCCCUUUUCUUGGCAUCUACCAGUCUAUCAAUUAUUACAGCUCCAGAGAGGAGCUAAAAAGUAUUAUAUUUAGACAUGAAAAAAAAACAUAUAUUUUCAAUGUAAAGGAACAAAGGAUCAACAUUUAGGCACAACUGAAUAUGAACCAGUAAUCCAAUGUUCAGUAUGAUUCAUAUAUAAGAGUGCUUAUGACUUGCUUCCUAGUGAAUUUCAUGCAUCAGUAAAUAUUUGAUGACUCAAAGACAAAUCUCCUCCUAUCCUUAUUAUUUGACUUCAUAAAAAUGUAUACAUACAUAUACAUAAAAAUGUAUCCUUAUUAUCACUCAAUUUAAAUUUUUAUGAAUAUGUAUAUAUCUUUGCAAAACUUGCACAUGUAAAUCACCACGUCACCUGAUCAUUAAAGUAAACAAUGUUUAGGUUCUGAUUGGCAUUAGCACCCCUUUAAAUAUGCCCUUUAAAGCAAAUAUGAUGGUAAAAGUAUCAAUGAAACUUUAUUAUUUUAAAUCUUAAUUUAAAAGAAAAAUGAAAUUAGCUGACAAUUGUUACCUUAGUUCUUGUAAUGAAUGUUAAUGGCAGGAGUUUUAUGGUGGAUCAUAGUUACCGGGGGGCAUAAAUGCUAUAGUCAAAUUUGUUGUGACAAAUGCACAUUUGCCAAACUUUUCAAUGAUUGGCAUGACAAAUCCCUUUUUUGUUUUAAUAAUUGUGGAUGAAAGCAAUGUGGUCACUUCAAAGUUAGGAGCCACUUAAAAGUGGCUCCAUAAGAGCAUUUGACAUCUUCCCACCAGAUCUUGAUGAGAUCUUUCACUAUUAAAUUAGAUAGUUGGAUAAUCAUAUUGAUAGAUGGCUAAGAUGUGAGAACUAGAGGGUCUUAACAUAUAGUAAUUAGUGCAGUGUUGCACAAGUGAUAGGUCUCAAGUUUGAGUCGACAUGUUAACAACAUUUGAUGUAAUGAAAAUUUCUUUUCAUUUUUCUUUUAAACAUAAAGCACAACUGAGAAGGAUGAUUGUCCCAAAACUCACAGGUUAACAAGGCGGCCAAGACUUAGAACUGACAGUCCUCCGAUCCUCCCAUCGUAGGGUGAGCUCGGAGCUGGAUGGAUACCUCCCUCCUCAAUAUCGGCCAAGAAAAAAGCCUAGAUCACACGAUAAAUUCGUGGUCCAUCUACCACCAUCAAAUACUAUGUUCAAGAUGAAUGUCUCACAGGCAUUUAAACGAACAUGACGCGUGCAAUCUAUACAGGGCAUAUUGAACUCCAAAAGCACAAAGUGCAAUCUAUACAGGGCAUAUUGAACUCCAAAAGCACAAAGUGCAAUCUAUACUGGGCAUAUUGAACUCCAAAGGCACAAAAGUCCUUGCGUAUCACAGGCUUUGGCCAAUUCGGCUAUAGGAAGUAACGUUAUAGGAUCAAGAAAAGCAUCAGUUUGGAGCAGGAACAUAUUCUCGAGUAGGUUAUUACCUUCCAACGAAUGCGGCGAGGAGGGGCGCGGCGCAGGUGCGGGUGCAACAUACCAUCGGCGACGAACGACAAAACCAAGACAAUCGCCCGUCCCCAUCCAUUGUCGCUGCUGGUGGUGGUGCUCGUUAAGAAGUGGGAACUGUGCGCGGCCGUCGGAAGGGACUCAUCCACCGUGUCGGCGCGUGGAGAGGGAAAGCCUGCAGGGAACAACAAUGCCUGUGUUGUGUUAAGCUCACGGGAGCUCCAAGGAAUUAGGUUGAAUAUAAUUGAAUCGGGUCAAAAUCUAAUUUACUCCGGUCCAAUUAAAAUCUAAUGUAGCUCACCAAGUCAAGCUAAAAUCUUUCUUAUCAUCGAACCGGUCCACUCCUUUCCAGUUCUCCAAAGUCCAACGGAUCGCGAUUUUACGUGUAAAUUAACACUGAACCCGGUCCAAUGUGACGGUCGAACGCGAAGCCGGUUUGUUGUCUCUACUAACCCAGUAAUUAACUCCGAACUCUCGUGGCAUUUGGCCC
rnacentral:lncRNA from 1 species